GACGAACGCUGGCGGCGUGCUUAACACAUGCAAGUCGAACGAUGAAGCCUUUCGGGGUGGAUUAGUGGCGAACGGGUGAGUAACACGUGGGCAAUCUGCCCUGUACUUUGGGAUAAGCCUUGGAAACGGGGUCUAAUACCGGAUAUCACUUACCUCCGCAUGGGGGUUUGGUUGAAGUUACUGCGGUACAGGAGUGAGCCCGCCGGCCUAUCAGCUUGUUGGUGGGGUAGGUGGCCUACCAAGGCGACGACGGGUA
rnacentral:rRNA from 1 species